rnacentral:lncRNA from 1 species
CCAAACCGGGUGUCACAAGUCAUGAGCUUCUACAGAGUUUGCUAUAAGUCUACAGAAUAUAAUAUCUGAUACAACAGUUUGAAGAAAACAUAAAUGAGGUAAUAUAGGGGAGACGAGGGCCUGCGGACGUCAACAACUACCUCGAACCUCAAAAUAGCUGCCUGGUCUGGAAGGAAUCAGCGCUAAGGUGCGGACUCUGCUAUGCCUGAAUCUGCACAUAUAGUGCGGGGAGUAAUGUGAGUACUCCGACCCAGUGAGUAAUAACAAUAAAUAACGAUGACAGCAUGAAAACAUAUAAAUACACAAGGAAAUUCAAUACAAGGCAGUAAAUCACUUAACGUCGUAAAAUCGUAAAGAAUCAAAUGAAAUCUCCUUUUAAAAAAAGGUAAAUUAGGUAAAACAACAAGUAAACAGUGGGUAGUAAUCUGCCCCUCGGCCCAGUACAAAUCGCUCAGUAUAGUAUCAGCCUCGGGCUCACUCUCCACUCAGUAUAGUAUCAGCCCCUCGGGCUUAGUAUAAGUCAUUCAACAUAGUAUCAGCCAUUUGGGCCCACUCUUGGAUCAUAUGGAUACCCGCGCUCACUGUGGGUGUGCAUACUCCGGAGGGUCCCGUUACGGCCCAAGCGCUAUAUAAACAUAAGGCCUGAAAGCCUUCUCACAUCACUCAUAAGGCCUGAAAGCCUCCUCAUAUCACUCACAAGGCCUGAAAGCCUCCUCGCAUCACUCAGAAGGCCUGAAAGCCUCCUCACAUCACUUAGAAGGCCUGAAAGCCUCCUCAUAUUACUCACAAGUCCUAAAAGCCUCCUCACAUCACUCACAAGGCCUGAAAGCCUUUUCAAGUCACUCAAGCAACCUCGUGGCAUAUAAAUGUAUCUCAGGCCAUCGGCCUCACUCAGUCCAGAAACAACAUCAUAAGCCUCUCGAGCAUCAAUAAAAUAGUAGUUCUCAGCCCAAACAACAUUGAAAAUAUUAUUUAAAUAUCAAGAUUCAAUUAGAAAUGGUUGAAUUUGUAAAACAGUAUUAAUCAAUAGGACUAAGUUCAAGUAAUAUAUCAAAAUAGUGAGGAAAGGGUGAUAAAAGUCCACAAAGGAUUCAAGUAAUCAGCAUGAAGCCCAAAAUAAGGCAAUAAGCCCAAAUCAUGUUGAUAAAACACGCCUCAGUCAAAUAAGCGGUAAAAAUAUCAAUUGGGAUGUACCAAGUCACAAUCCUCAGUAGUAAACAACCCCGCGCUCAUCAUUAAGCGCGUGUUUCACCUCAAUAUAGCACUACUUUGUGCAAAUCCGGGUUUCAAACCCUCGGGAUAUAAUUUACCAUCAUUACUCACCUCAAGCCGGCAAAAAUCCUAGCUCGCUAUGCCCUUACCUCUCAAAUCGGCCUCCUCACGUGUCGAAUCCGACCAAAACCACAACGAAUACAUCACAAUAAGCUAAGAGAACAUAACCAAAUUGAAAAACAUCAAAAAUCCCGAAAUUAGCAAAACUCGAUCCCCCGACCCACUUCUUAAAACUCAGAAACUUUCACAUCACCGGGUUCCUUAUCUCGCCACGAGUCUAUACAUAUAAAGAAAACCAAAAUUGGAGUCCAAUUGACCCCUCAAAUCCUAAUUUGAAAUAUCAAAACUCAAGCCCUAGUUCUUCCUCUUUUUGCUAAGAUUCUAUAAAAUUCUAGGUUAUUUCCACAAUUAAGUCUUGUUUUUAGUUUAUAGGGCUCACCUCGAAUCAAUCCCAGUCGAAACCCUCUUAAAUUUCUCCCAAAAAACUCUAAAGAUGUUCAACAAUGGAGGAAAAUAACUUAAGCUCGCGGAUGAAAUAUUAUUAAAAACCCCUAUCCAGCUGACAUUUACUCUAUGCGAACGCGAGGGCUCUCUCGCAUUCGCGGUGGACAACUCUUGUCUCGACCAAAUUACCCCUUGCAAACGCAUUGCCUCCUCCGCGAACGUGAUGCUUUAACUUAUACCACUACGCGAAUGCUAGCCUAAUUCUGUGAACGUGAAAAACAAAUAAUAACGGACCUCAAAUCCUUCUAUGCGAACGCGACACUCGUCAUGCGAACGCGAUACACACUCCCAGGACCCUCCACGAACGUGAUUCUAUGCGAAGCACAUAGACUCAGGGACCUAACUUUCUUCUACGCGAACGCGGGCUCCUCACCGCGAACGCGAAGACAAGCCUGGACUUGCACUGUUGCUGAUUUUUUUGCUAAGAAUUUUCAACUCCAAACUUCCUGUUAGCCAUCCGAAAUCACUCGGAGGCCCCCGGGACCUCAACCAAAAGCACCAACACAACCUAAAAAAUCGUCCAAACUUGUUCCAAUCACCAAAAUACCUCAGAUAACACCAAAACCAUCAAAUUACAUUGAAUUCCAGCCUAAGAUCUUUUAAAACUUCAGAAGCACAAAUUCGAUAAAAACCCCAACCAAAGCACCUUUGAAUGACUUGAAAUUUUGCAUACAUAUCCCAAAUCACAUAGUGAAGCUACAACAACUCUUGAAAUUACAUUCCCAUCCUCGGAUCAAAAUCUCAUCUAUCAAUCGAAACUCGCCAAAAUACUAACUUUUUCAAUUCAAGCCAAAUCCUUCCACGGACUUCCAAAAUACAUUCCAAUUGCAAUUCUGAGUCAUAAAUACCCAAAAAGCUAACCAAAUCAUAAAAACUUGGAUCUGAUCUCAUAUAGAGACAAGUAACCUCUUGGUCAAACAUUUCAAAUUUUUAGCUUUAAUUGAUAAUUGUUCUUCCAAAUUCUUUUAAUUAACAUGUAACCAAAAUCAACGAUCUUUAUAGGUCAUAAUACACCACAUGGGCCAAAUCAUGCCUGAAAACUGACGAUCAAAUUGCAAAGGUCAAAACGACCGGUCUGAUCAUUACAAUACUACUGUUAAAUACUUGGUCCCUCAUAUAAAAAACAUGUGAUGUUUCUUGGACCAUAGAACCCUGAUUCACCCCUUUCCUCACUAUAAGGGACCCAAACUUAUUUGGGUUCCUAAGUCUAUCCCUUGAUUUCCUUGUUCAGGGAGCAGACAAUAAUGGUAAAUGGAUAUUGGCUGCCCAAAGUAUGACUAGAAGUACAAAUAAUUUCCUUAGACCCAAGAGGGAGUGUGCCUUUAGAAAUGGUAAAAAAGGAUACAUUUUGGGAGUUGGAAGGACUGGAAAAUCUUUCACUCAUUCAAUUGAAAAUGUAUACUAUAUGAACGGGUUGAAGUACAACUUGCUGAGUUUUUUACAAAUCUUUGACAUAGGAAGCAAAGUGGAAUUUGUCUAAAAAAUAUGCACGGUUACAAAUCUUGUGACUCGUGAAGUGGUUCUAGUGGCUAAAAGGUACAAAAAAAAUUAUGUUGCUAAUUUUGAGUCCUUGUAAAAUGGGGAUCUCUAUUGUCUGAGCGCUAUUGAUGAUGAUGCUAAACUAUGGUACAGAAGACUAGGUCAUACAAGUUUUACAUUGCUGGAAAAAUUAGUCAAGAAGGACCUGAUUCGUGGCUUGCCGAAGUCAAGCUUCAAGGAUCACAAGGUGUGUGCUGCAUGUGUAAAAGGAAAGCAAGAUCCUUGUUCAAGCCAAAAAAGGAAGAUUAGUACCUCAAGGCCACUUAAUCUUCUCCAUAUGGAUAUGUGUGGACCUUUGAGGGUGCCAAGAAGAGGAGGAAAGAAGUACAUCUUUGUUAUAGUCGAUGACUAUCCCAUAUUCACCUGAACUAUGUUUCUCAGAACUAAGGAUGAAACUUUUCAAGUAUUUGCUACAUUUGUGAAGAAGAUAUAGGUGAAGAUGAUCCAUAAUGUAGUAUGUAUAAGGUCUGAUUACGACAUAGAACUUGGCAAUGCCAAAUUUGACGAAUUAUGUGCUGAAAAUGGCAUUAUUCAUAAUUUUUCAGCUCCAAGAAAACCUUAACAAUAUGGUGUUGUUGAGAGGAAGAAUAAGAUUCUUGAAGACAUGGAAAUAACAAUGUUGAUUGACAGUGGCAUGUAAAAAGUUUCUGGGUAGAAGUAGUCAACACUGCAUGCUACUUGGUGAAUAUGUCCAUGAUCAGGUCCCUUUUGAACAAAACUCCAUAUGAACUAUUGAACGGGAGGAAGCCUAAGUUGACACAUUUAAGGACAUUUGGCUGCAAACAUUUCCUUCUCAACAAUGGCAAGUAAGCACUUGGAAAAUUUGAUGUCAAAAGUGAUGAAAGAUUCUUUUUAGGCUAUUUAUCACAAAGCAAAGCCCACAAAGUUUACAACAAAAAACUCAAUAUAAUGAGGAAAGCAUACAUGUGAUCUUUUAUGAAUCUCGCCACCCAUGUGGGAAAGAUUCACAUGAUAAUAUUGAUCAAGACAGAGAACAGUAAACUGUCCUUGGUGAAGUCAUGGGCAUGGAAAAUGGAAAGGCUGACAUGAUGAGUCAUGUCAAGGAAUAAAAUGAUAAUGAUGCACCCAUAUCUCAAACUGAUGGGGAGGAACCUGGUUCCUCAAUCACAAUAACUGAAGCUGAGAACAAAGUUGUCGAGGCUAUCUAAGGCAACCCAUAAGUUGCACUGAGAAGUGGAACUCAGGAAAACCAAGGACGGCUUCCAAAAAUACCUGAACCUUCUCACAAUGAGAUUCAUGUGUCUAAAUUGGAAGCAUAAAAGUUCACAUCCUCUUGAAAAUGUAAUCACUCCUCUUGACUCAUGGAUUCAAACCAGAUUAACUUCAAGAAACUAGUUUGCCUUUUCAGCCUUUCUCUCUCAAAUUGAUCCCAAAAAUAUCAAGAAAACAUUGAAAGAUGCUAACUGAAUUACGGCUAUGGAAGAACAACUCUAUUAAUUUGAGAGGAAUAGUGCAUGGAACCUAGUACCAUGACUUGCUAAUAGAACUAUAUAGGAACCAAAUGGGUAUUUAGAAACAAACUUGAUGAUUUUGGAAACACAACAAAGAACAAUGCAAUGCUAGUAGUCAAGGCUAUAAUCAUGAAACUUUAGCUCCAGUUGCUCAAAUGGAGGCCAUCAGAACCCUCGUUGCCUUUGCAUCUCAUAUGGAAUUAAAAUUGUCUCAAAUUGAUGUCAAAAGUGCAUUUCUAAAUGAUUUUCUAAAAGAAGAAGUUUUCGUCCAGCAACACCUGGAUUUGAGUAUUAUGAGCAUCCUGAGCAUUUUUGAACUUGAUAAAACAUUAUAUGGCUAAAACAAGCUCCUCGUGCUUGGUAUGAAAGGUUGUCCAAUUUCUUCUAGAAAAUGGCUUUACAAGAGGAAAACUUGACAACACCUUAUUUCUGAAGAAACAAGGGAGGAACCUGCUCAUUGUGCAAGUCUAUUUUGAUGACAUCAUCUUCGGAGAAACAAAUGAUUCUCUGUGUGGGGAAUUUGCUAAGCUCAUGGAAGUGAGUUUUGAAUGGGCAUGAUGGAGGAAUAGAAUUUCUUCUUGAGUUUACAAGUCAAGCAAACUCCGAAGGGGACAAUGAUAAGUUAGCAGAAGUACAUCAAAGAGCUUUUAAAGAGAUUUAAAAUGGAAGGCUAAAAAAUCAUUGAUACUCCCAUUACCACUGCCACUCAUCUAACAUGUAUAAACCUGGUUCUCCUAUGAACGAGAGGAUGUAUAGAGGUAUCAUUGGGUCACUCAUAUAUCUCACAAUACCAAGACCAGAUAUUAUUUUUAGUGUGGGACUUUGUGCCAGGUUUCAAUCUAAUCCAAAGGAAUCUUAUCUUAAGAUUUCCAAGAGAAUCAUGAGGUAUCUCACAAGGACACAGGACGUGGUUCUCUACUAUCCCUCUGGAGACAAUUUUGAUUGAAUUUGGUUUGCUGAUAUUGAUUAUGCUGGUUAUCUAAUGGAUAGGAAAAGAAUUUCUGGCAUGGCACAUUUUUUGGGUUAAUUUCUAAUCUCAUGGGAUACAAGAAAAAAAGUACUUAGUGGCUCUUUCAACCGUAGAAGCAAAAUAUGUGGCGACUACCUUUUGCUACGCUCAACUGGUAUGGGUCAAGCAUUAACUGGAAGAUUUUGGGGUGUUUUCUAACUGUGUGCCCUUAUAUGUGAUAACACCAAUGCUCUCAACAUGGACAACAAUCCAGUUUAACAUAAGAGAACAAAGCACAUUGAUAUGCGACAUCACUUCCUCAGAGACAAUGUUGAAAAAUGGCUCAUCUGUAUGAAAUUUUGCAGCACGGAAGAUUAAAUUCUAGAUAUAUUCACCAAAGCACUGAGCAGGGAGCACUUUGAAAAGAAAUCGCUUGGUACUAGGGUUGAUAAAAUCAAGCUAAGUACCUGGCCCGUUGAUGAUUGACUAUGAAAUGAAUGAACAGGUGAAAUUGCUAAAAAGUGUUUUCUGCGCACAGAGGAAAUAGGUUCCUAAAGCUCUCUGAUCGAGCUUUCUUAUGCUUAUGACAGGCAUUCUCGGGGACACCUACUAAAAGGAGUCUAUUGGGGGAGAUCCAGCCAGAAAGACUUAUUGGAUUGGUUACGUAUUUAAAGAAGAGCCUUAUAUAUUACUAUAUUACGUGCGAGUGAGGUCUUUCCCAAAACAAAUAGUGGGAUUUCCUCAACCUUCCUGACUUUUUCCCGAAUGAGUUGAACUUAUAAGGAUGAAACCUGGCCCGUUGAUGAUUGACUAUGAAAUGAAUGAACAGGUGAAAUUGCUAAAAAGUGUUUUCUGCGCACAGAGGAAAUAGGUUCCUAAAGCUCUCUGAUCGAGCUUUCUUAUGCUUAUGACAGGCAUUCUCGGGGACACCUACUAAAAGGAGUCUAUUGGGGAAGAUCAAACAAGCAUUAGCUCUCCCUGAAAAGGAGGUGAUCCAGCCGCACCUUGCAGUAUGACUAACUUGUUACGACUUCACUCCAAUCACUGCAAAGUCUAUCUCAUUUCUAUACUGUUGCCGGUAGACAUACAUGACGACUAUCAAGCAAAAACAGUAGCUAAUGGUAUCCACUUUGGUCAACAGAUGAGUUUUACAUUUACAAUAUAUGUUCGGGAACCUGGAUCGCUUGACACAGGUUAGUAGUUCCUCUUUACUCUCAUCCACAACCUUUUAAUGGUUAAAUUGAUGCCAUGUCAUUAAAAUAUCAGUUUCUCUCUUUUUUUUGAACCCAAACGUCAUACCUGUCAUUGUCGAUGCCCCCGUUUUCUAAGCCAAAAUCGGGUUUACUACAUUUGGACCGACCACUCUUUUUCUUUUGGGAAUUGGGUUUGAGAUUUAGAAGGGUCGCCACCUAAUAAUUAAAGUGUAUUAGGACACUAAGAAGGGUUUGAGUUGAAGGACCAGAGUUUGGGUAAGGGCUAGAAAUUAUCUCGGAGGGAAGGUGUUAGGCAACCCCCGAGAUCCACUAGUAUAGUUCCCGGCCAUGCUACAAUUGUGAUUUUAAAUAUAUACAACAAAUAAACAUACAAGACACUUUCACGUAACGAUUGCAAACAAAAGGAAUUGUAAAAGUUAAAUGAACAUGCUGAAGUUAGGAAUAGGCGAUUUCAUAAUUAUUAAAGAAUACACAAGUGCAGAAAAAUGGGGGUCAAAUAAUUGGUACAAAUAAUCAAACAAAGGAAUGAAAUGAGGCAGAAGUUUGGAAAAGAAAUAGUACUUAAAAUUAAAUAACUAAAAGUGAUUUUAAAUGAUUAAAGUAAAAGACGAGGUUUAAAAUAACUAAAAACUAUCAGUUUAAAAAAUAUUCUGAAAAAAGAAGUAAACACAUAAAGAGGGAAUGGGUCUUAGGUUUAUGAAUAACAUGGAUCACCCCACGCAACACCCGGUAACCAUUUAUACACGUGGUUUUAUUGCGUGAUAAUCAUAUCCACGCCUAUCCUUUCCUACCCCGUUAACGUACUAAAUUGCGGAAUGGUCUCCUUACUUAUUGCAUGCUACUACCUGCCCCAAUCCUAUCAGUCUCGGAGGAAGUUGGGAGUACUAAUCCUAAAGGGAAGGACCAGUGGCUUUUCAAAGUUUUAAAAGGACAAAAAUCUAGUGCGACAAACAGAACACAUAACAGUAAAAAGGGGAGAACACAUAACAAAGGCUCAAAUAGGCCUCCUCAUUCAAAGAGAAAAUUGUUUAGCAUGACUUACAAGUACUGAUUAGGUCUGAAUUAAACUUAACGCGUUAGGACAGGCUGCUGUAUCACUUAUUUCUCAUAUGAGAAGUCCGGAUUAGGCCUUGGCUGGUUGUAGUUUAUCAGGGACUGACGCAUUUGAUUAAUUACCUACUAGUUUGCCUAGAUGAGGCCUGUAAGCAUGAUAUUCUAACAAUGCAGAAGGCAUAAUGAUUUUAAAGAAAGGUUACUGGUUUUAUAAACAAAGGUUUGUAAAUUUUAAACGAUCUUGCUACUGAUUUUAAACUCAUAGGUGAAAUAGACGAAGUUGAUCAACUGAUUACAUCCUAUAGGCAUGCAAAAAAUGCAUAAAAAUUACUAAAACAUAUAUUAAAAAUAGGAAAAAUACAUAAUAUUAUUAUAAAAGCGUGUAGAUGACAUGGAUUUAUGGGGCUAAACUUUAAAAAAAAUGCUCUCGACGCAUUUUAGCUUAGAAAAAGAACAGUAGCUCUUACUGGCGCACGAUAGCAAGAUCACAAUCGUCGUCGGAAUAUGGCUCGUUGCCGGCGUAACCCUCCACCUACUACUACUCAACUCGUCACACCUGAGAAUGGCACAAUCCAGGAACUUGAACCAUACACUUUUGGUAACUUUCUGCCUCAGAAGUUUCAUUCUCCAAUAGUGAUGCAUGCAGGGCCGUACCGACGUCCUGACACGUACCGUGGCCAUGUCCUGACACGUACCGUGGCCAUGUCCUGACACGUACCGUGGCCAUGUCCUGACACGUCCUGACACGUACCAUGACCUUAUCCUGCCAUGUCCUGGCGCGUCCUGACACGUGCCAUGGCCAUGUCCUGACACGUACCAUGGCCAUGUCCUGACACGUACAUGGCCAUGUCCUGAANNNNNNNNNNNNNNNNNNNNNNNNNNNNNNNNNNNNNNNNNNNNNNNNNNNNNNNNNNNNNNNNNNNNNNNNNNNNNNNNNNNNNNNNNNNNNNNNNNNNNNNNNNNNNNNNNNNNNNNNNNNNNNNNNNNNNNNNNNNNNNNNNNNNNNNNNNNNNNNNNNNNNNNNNNNNNNNNNNNNNNNNNNNNNNNNNNNNNNNNNNNNNNNNNNNNNNNNNNNNNNNNNNNNNNNNNNNNNNNNNNNNNNNNNNNNNNNNNNNNNNNNNNNNNNNNNNNNNNNNNNNNNNNNNNNNNNNNNNNNNNNNNNNNNNNNNNNNNNNNNNNNNNNNNNNNNNNNNNNNNNNNNNNNNNNNNNNNNNNNNNNNNNNNNNNNNNNNNNNNNNNNNNNNNNNNNNNNNNNNNNNNNNNNNNNNNNNNNNNNNNNNNNNNNNNNNNNNNNNNNNNNNNNNNNNNNNNNNNNNNNNNNNNNNNNNUGACACGUACAUGGCCAUGUCCUGACACGUCCUGACACGUACAUGGCCAUGUCCUGACACGUCCUGACACGUACCAUGGCCAUGUCCUGAUUACAUCCUAUAGGCAUGAUUUCUGAGCAUUAUUGGUUUUAUGAGGACUAAGUAAGUGCAGGAGUCCUAUAGGCAUUGUAUCUAAAAUGAGGUUACUUAUUGCUAAACCUAUGAUUACUUGCCUAAUGACAGACGUAUAUGUAGAGGUGCAGAAACAAAACUAUAACCAUGAUUUUCUAUAUGCAGAAACUUAUAGGCAUGGUUUCUAAUAAUGAAACAAUCUUGUAGGUAAGAUUUCUACGUGUAAUGCAUAAAUUGUAGGCAGGAUUUAUAAAUGCGCAAGCGCGUAAACUUAUAGGCAGGAGUACUAUAUGUUAUACAUGAAUGCAGAAUUUGUGAAUACUAAUCCCUAUGAGCAUGUUGUCUACCCAUAUGCAUACUUAAAUGACCCCCCUUUUCACUAGAAGCCCAUAGUUAUUACAAAUUAUUACAAACCCGAAUGAAUCAAGAAAGAUAAAAAAUUACAAUAGAAAUUCAAGCUACAACCAAACAACCCAAUUCAGACUCAAGGUCUAACAAUAUGACAUAAACCACCUUCCAAAGAUAAGAUUUCCAAAGCCUUUCUCAUCUUUGGGGUAUGUUAAAAAUCUAAAGGGCUUCAUGAACCUUAGGCAGUGCGUACACCCAAAUAUAUUUGCAGGAUCAGAUUAUAGUGCAGUGUGGAAAGGCCAACCCUAAAAUGUCAAAGUUCAGAGGGAACUCAAGGUCCCAAAGCAAGGCUCAUAGGAGGGGGGGAGAACUUAGAGUCUAAGAGUAAAUGUAAGUGCAUGGGGGAAUUAGGGAGUCCAGGGCAGGCUAGUGAUUAUGCCUAGCAAUCAGAUAUGCUGGCACACCCCUGACCAGCCUGUUAGCCAAAUCUUAGGAGUUAGGAUCCAUUAGAGAUCAAGUUCAGACCUGAGCAGUAAUUUGGGUACUGCCAUGCCAAAACCUUAACUCAGACACAUAGAGGGGAAUAUGGUGUAGGGAUUCACAAUUGAAACAAAUGCAAGGAAAUAACAUACAUAGUUUAAUCACUAAACAUGAGCAACAGAGUAAACAAGAAUGUUGAAACUACAAAGUAAACAUACAAAGGUGAGAUAGAAAAGAAUUAAAUAAGAAAUACCAGUUUCAGGGAAACCAGGUAAAAAGAAACAGUAGUCUUGAAAAGCCAAUUUGUAAGCAAGCAGUUCCAAAAGAUCUCAGAAAAGGAGAGUGUUGGGAGAGCAUUGAACUCAAAGCAGUAUUGUAAGUAUGUGAGUUGAGAGUAAAAGUUCGAGGUAUUAAACAUGAAGUGUCCUAAAAAAUGUAGGAGGGUAGUCCCCUUUAUAGUGCGGAGAAGAAAGUAAGGAAGGUAAAAAGAUAGUUUUCAAUCAAUCAAAUAAAAUUUCCCUUCAGUUAAGGAAUUGAUUUCCAACGGGUAGAAUACAAUAAGGAAAGGGAUUUGAAAAUAUUUUCCUAUCAGUAUAAUAAAGGGUAAGUACAUAGAAGCUAUUUAAGGCAAACAACUGAUAGUACAUAGCAGUAUAAUAAAGGGUUUUUAAAAAAGGAAAGGGGAUCAACUAGUAUAAUCAAAAUUUCAGACUUUUACUCGAAUAAACCAAGUCAGGAAAGGGGUAAAGAAAGGUUCAAUUAGGGAAAUCAGUAACAAUCAAGUAAACACACUUAAAGGAAUUCAGAAUCAAUUAGUAGUUGGCAAAACCUUUUUAAAGCAGAGUCCUUAUACAUAAAGCACACAAAUGUGAGUCAAGGAGGGAUUGUCAAGUUAUUUAGAAGAGAGUCUAAUCAAAGAAAAGUUCAGAAUCAUAAGCAAUAAGGAACAUGUUCAAUUUGCAGACUCAUAGUGAGUUUGAGAGUCUAGGGUCCAAAGUAGAACCCUAACUCGAACACAAAAUCAAAAUCGUCAAAGGAAAACCCCAAAUCCUAGGGUUUCAAAUUGUAUCAGACAUGGAGGUGAGAAAGCAAGCCAUUUGUUUCAGAGUCUCAACAAAAUAGAUAUGAUAGCAUGUUUGAAAGACAAUGGAAUAAAAAUCACGAGGAACAUAUUUGAGAAAACUCAGAACCUAGACAAGUUCAGAAGAAGUAGAUAACAAACUUGAACACAAGUAGAUGAAGCAUGUAAGAACAUGAACAGAGUCCAGUAAACAAAAAAUCAAAUAGAUUAACGGUAAUCACAUAUAGUAAAAGGGUAAAGAAAACAUAGCAAAGAUUAACAUGAGUAACAUGUGUAGUAGAAAAGAAAAGGUAGAAGACAGUACAUGCAUAACAAAAAAAAUCACAUGAGCAGAGUAUGGACAAACACACAUAAAACAAAGAAGAAGAAAAAUCACAAAUAUUUUUUCCAAACAAAUCCUUUCAAAAACCCUAAAAUCGGAGAGAAAUGAUUUUGAAAAGACACUAUUAGGGAAAGCACUUUAGAUGGCAAGAAAAGCAUAUAUACAAUAUAGAUCUAAGCAAACAACAGCGAAAGAACCUCGAAUACCAUAGGGGUUUGGAGGAACCCUAGAUAUGAGAAAGGCUUGGAAACAUGUCCGAUCUUGAGUCGAAGAGGCUCAUAGUGCUUGAAUAUUCCCGGGUAAAGUGCUAGAGAAGCCAUAGAUCUGCAGAUCUGAGAAGGAUUUGAAGGAGAAACAUUGAAGUAAGGUCUCGAAGCUUUGAACAACCAUGGUUUACUGGUGAAGGGGAGUGAGUACCAAGAAUCCAUGGCCUGGGAAGCCAUGGAUUCUGGUGGACUGGUAGUUGAAGCGGGUAGAAGGAGGCUAGGGUUUCAGAGAGUUUGAGAGAUGACAAUUUU